AGAGUUUGAUCCUGGCUCAGGAUGAACGCUGGCGGCGUGCUUAACACAUGCAAGUCGAACGGAGGACCCUUGACGGAGUUUUCGGACAACGGAUAGGAAUCCUUAGUGGCGGACGGGUGAGUAACGCGUGAGGAACCUGCCUUGGAGAGGGGAAUAACACAGAGAAAUUUGUGCUAAUACCGCAUGAUGCAGUUGGGUCGCAUGGCUCUGACUGCCAAAGAUUUAUCGCUCUGAGAUGGCCUCGCGUCUGAUUAGCCUAGUUGGCAAGGGUAACGGCCUACCAAGGCAACGAUCAGUAGCCGGUCUGAGAGGAUGAAACGGCCACAUUGGAAACUGAACAAAGGUCCAAACUCCUACGGGAGGCAGCAGUGGGGAAUAUUGCACAAUGGGGGAAACCCUGAUGCAGCAACGCCGCGUGAGUGAAGAAGUAUUUUGGUAUGUAAAGCUCUAUCAGCAGGGAAGAAAAUGACGGUACCUGACUAAGAAGCCCCGGCUAACUACGUGCCAGCAGCCGCGGUAAUACGUAGGGGGCAAGCGUUAUCCGGAUUUACUGGGUGUAAAGGGAGCGUAGACGGAAUGGCAAGUCUGAUGUGAAAGGCCGGGGCUCAACCCCGGGACUGCAUUGGAAACUGUCAAUCUAGAGUACCGGAGGGGUAAGUGGAAUUCCUAGUGUAGCGGUGAAAUGCGUAGAUAUUAGGAGGAACACCAGUGGCGAAGGCGGCUUACUGGACGGUAACUGACGUUGAGGCUCGAAAGCGUGGGGAGCAAACAGAAUUAGAUACCCUGGUAGUCCACGCCGUAAACGGAGAAUACUAGGUGUUGGGGGGCAAAGCUCUUCGGUGCCGCAGCAAACGCAAUAAGUUUUCCACCUGGGGAGGACGUUCGCAAGAAUGAAACUCAAAGGAAUUGACGGGGGACCCGCACAAGCGGUGGAGCAUGUGGUUUAAUUCGAAGCAACGCGAAGAACCUUACCAAAUCUUGACAUCGAUCUGACCGGACUGUAAUGAGUCCUUUCCCUUCGGGGACAGAGAAGACAGGUGGUGCAUGGUUGUCGUCAGCUCGUGUCGUGAGAUGUUGGGUUAAGUCUCGCAACGAGCGCAACCCUUAUCCUCAGUAGCCAGCAAGUGAAGUUGGGCACUCUGUGGAGUCUGCCAGGGAUAACCUGGAGGAAGGUGGGGAUGACGUCAAAUCAUCAUGCCCCUUAUGAUUUGGGCUACACACGUGCUACAAUGGCGUAAACAAAGGGAAGCGAUCACGCGAGUGUGAGCAAAUCUCAAAAAUAACGUCUCAGUUCGGAUUGUAGUCUGCAACUCGACUACAUGAAGCUGGAAUCGCUAGUAAUCGCAGGUCAGCAUACUGCGGUGAAUACGUUCCCGGGUCUUGCACUCACCGCCCGUCA
rnacentral:rRNA from 1 species